rnacentral:rRNA from 1 species
CAGUCGCCGCGGUAAGACGGAGGAUGCAAGCGUUAUCCGGAAUGAUUGGGCGUAAAGCGUCUGUAGGUGGUUUAUUAAGUCUGCUGUUAAAGCACAGGGCUCAACCCUGUAUGGGCGGUAGAAACUGGUAGGCUUGAGUAUGGUAGGGGUAGAGGGAAUUCCCGAUGUAGUGGUGAAAUGCGUUGAUAUCGGGAAGAACACCAAAGGCGAAAGCACUCUGCUGGGCCAAUACUGACACUGAGAGACGAAAGCUAGGGGAGCAAAUGGGAUUAGAUACCCCUGUAGUCCCUGUCUCUUAUAC